AACGAACGCUGGCGGCAUGCCUAACACAUGCAAGUCGAACGAGACCUUCGGGUCUAGUGGCGCACGGGUGCGUAACGCGUGGGAACCUGCCCUUAGGUUCGGAAUAACUCCCCGAAAGGGGUGCUAAUACCGGAUAAUGUCUUCGGACCAAAGAUUUGUCGCCUUUGGAUGGGCCCGCGUUGGAUUAGCUAGUUGGUAGGGUAAAAGCCGACCAAGGCCACGAUCCAUAGCUGGUCUGAGAGGAUGAUCAGCCACACUGGGACUGAGACACGGCCCAGACUCCUACGGGAGGCAGCAGUGGGGAAUAUUGGACAAUGGGCGAAAGCCUGAUCCAGCAAUGCCGCGUGAGUGAUGAAGGCCUUAGGGUUGUAAAGCUCUUUUACCCGGGAUGAUAAUGACGGUACCGGGAGAAUAAGCUCCGGCUAACUACGUG
rnacentral:rRNA from 1 species